AUCCACAGCAGGUUGCUGUGAGAAGCAUCUGCUGCUGGAGAGAAGUAAUUAAAAACAGGAUGUUGAGGCAGUUGCCAUAUAAACAGGAAAUAAGACGGUGGUAAUAGACACUUCACGCUGAUGCUGUGAGAUGGUUUUACACCACGUCGACUUAAUGGAUGCAAAGCGCAUACUUCAGGUGAAAAGAUCAAGGUUCGACAGUAAGUCCAGUGCAUAGACUGGUCGUCGGGAAGGAGGAUGCCCACGAGGAAUUUUUGAGUAGCUGCUCGGUCUACAGAGACGCCUUCAGAGUCAGGACAGAUGGGAGAACUGCUGUCCUCUGCAGAUCAGAGACACCACGACCUAAUCAUCAUCACAUACAGUACAUACAGUCUUUCUCGUUGUCUUGUUGUCUCUUCUGAUCAACAGAGAGGCUAAUAUCUUCCACAUGCACUCCAAUUCCAUUACUGUAACAUUUUAUCUACUGAAUCAUAUUGAGAGUCAAAAACA